rnacentral:ribozyme from 1 species
ACUCGUCAGAGCGAGUAUAAAUAGCUUUUUAGGCU